CGAACAUCUUGGGUGGCGUGUUAGGGUCGGUCUGGGGAAGGAACGAAGGCACGACGGGCUUCCUUCGGUAGGCUUCGAGUUCGGCGGCCUGGUCGUCGGUCUCGUCGGCGGCCGGUGGAAGAGCGCCGAUGGCAUCAGGUCCGAGGGCGCGUUCGAUCUUGUUGGCGUAUGCGCCCGCCGCCCCGCUGCGGGCGCGGACCGCACGAUUGGCGUUGGACUGUACAAGAGCGGCGAUCUUCUCGGCGGCCUCGUUGACUCGGUCGUCGCGCGCUCGUCGAUCUUGGAUAAAGUAAAAGGUCUUGAAGCGGGGGUCGAGGUAGACGGCAAGGAGAAGAGUCUCUGAGGCCUGGCCGUCGAGGAUGUUCCACCGGAGGGUGAGGUCAAACGAGAUGUCCUUCUUGAAUGUAGCGACGACAGGGUCGUCUUCGUCAACGGCCUUGAGGUGGUGAUGGAUGGCGCGGCUGACGAUCGGCAUGCCGGCGCCGAGAGUGGGCAGACGCUGGUAGGAGAGGAUCUCGGUCGAAUCGUUGAGUGGUUCAAGCACCGUCGCCAGUUGCUCGACGAGCGACCACUGGGCCGAGGUCAAGUCAGCAGGGACAGGCUUGCGGAGGCCGUGCAGGGCACCGAUGCAGGCCGAGACGGCGGGACGAGAGGACACGAGGCGCUCGAACAUGGUGUAGGCCGAACCCCACCUGGUCUUGUUGUCAAUCUUCAACGACUUGACCGACAAGCCUAGGGCCUUUUGCUUCUCGACAAGCAUCCUCUUGGCCGCCGGCGAGGCCUUGAAGGUCUUGGAGAUCGACUUGGCCGCCCGGAGGAUCGGCUUGACCUCGUCCGACUCGAGAGCCAGGCGAAUGGACCGGUUGAUGAGGUGGGCCACGCAGUAGAUCCACUCGAUCUUGAGGCACUUGGUCACCGCCGCCUUCAUGUUGGCCGCGCCGUCCGAGGUGACGGCGAUAAUCCGUUCGGUAUCGAUCUCCCACCCCAGGAUGACCUCUCGCACAACCUCGGCCAGGAACUCGGCCGUCUCCGAGGCCUUGACCGGAAUGACGUCGAGAACAAAGGACUCCAGGACCCAGUCCGUGGACACGCCGUGGACGGUGACGGCGAUGUAGGACCGGUUGGCGGCGCUGGUCCACGCGUCUAGGGUCAGCGACAGGUGGCGGAUGAUCUCCAACUUCUUGGCCACGGCCGACACGAGUCGCUUCUUCGCCGCCGGCAGCAGCGCCUUGGUCAGGCGCUUCCUCUUGGGCGGCUUGUAGGCGUUGUUCAGGUAGGACAGCAGUUCAAUAAAGUCCUCGUCGUCGACCAGACUCAUCGGCAGGCACCGGUUCGAGAUUAGCCUGGCCACUCGGGCAUCGGCCUCCUCCCUGCUGAAUCGCUUGGUCUUCCUGACCUGGUGCUUGUCGUUGUGCUUGUGCUUGACGUGCUUCAUCAGGUUGCCCGUCGACGUCGUCAUGCUGAACAGUUUCCCACAGUGCUUGCACUCGGCUCCGCCUUCGGUCGCGUCGAAAUGCUCCCACGCCUCACUGGUCACCUUCCUCGCCUGCUUGGGCUUCUCGCGCUUGGCCUUCUUGCUCUGUUGUUCGGCCGCCGCCUGUUCAUCGUCCUCUUCUUCCCCGUUCAUCCCUGAUAGGCCCGUGGAGGUAAGCACAUGAAACUUCGUCUUGCCUCUCUGCUUUUCACUGUACCUCAACCAAUCAGCACAUAGUUGGUUAUCCAAUGGGCAUCCUCCAUUUAAGCCAAUCGACGGUGUUGUCCGCAUAAAUUCGUGACCAAUAGACGCUCACGUUGGUAUAAGGAAAGUCUUUU
rnacentral:lncRNA from 1 species